UGCAGUCAAGUCAAAUUCAGUCCCUGUCCUGUCAUGACAGGAACUGGCCCAGAUGGCUGCCACAACAAGUUCUGCUGCUCAUGGGCCCUGGGUCCCCUAUUNUGGGACCUAGGGAUAAGUUUGGCUGCAGACAUUG
rnacentral:snoRNA from 1 species